AGUUAAUCUGUCUUAUGUAAAUGUAACUCUUAGUCCAGCUGGAAGAACUUGAAAGGUAGAGGAAGAACCUUCCCUUCCCUUCAGUUGGCGUAGCUGGUGGAUACUCAUUCGCAGGACAGCGGCUCGCCCAGAGAUCCUGGGACAGCUAACGCACCUCCAGCAGAAGAGGCCUCAGACCUCCCGCUCUGGACCCUUUGAACACCGGUAGCUGCACUGCACUCAACUGCCUCUUGGUCCAGGUCCCCAACGGUCGUGUUAUUGCCUGUGUGUUUUCUGGAAGGGUGGAAGCCUUUCCGUCCCACAAGACUGUUGUCCUCACAGUAGGAAAUAAAAAAACUAUUAAAAUUGUUUCCCACUUGGGGUAUACCUUGUAUAAUCUCCAGUGAUCGAGGCACCCUCUUCACUUAAUGAGAACCUUGCAGAUUUCCUGGAACCCUAUCCGUGUACAACCCUGUUGUUUCAUGCCAGUGUGACCAGCCACUGUGAGUCUUUCGUGUCUUGUGCUCCAGCCUGUUAUGAACAGCUUCAAAAACCCAUUUGGGAUCCCAAUUCAAAGGGUCCUGUUAGGCACAGUCUAGAGCCUGGUGAUGAUUAGGGAUUCUGGAAACAUCACCAGAGAAAAACAGCUCUUGGGACCUUCGGGAAUGCUCCUGACCAGUGACACCGCUGCGCAACUAGAAGGCACCGAGCCUUGAGUCCCCCUCACACAACUGAAGAAAGCUCCACUGGAGCCCUGGUCCUGGACAGACGCUGGAGACUGACCAAUUACCCUGACCAGGGAGAGAAACACUCGCCACCAAAGUAGACUGCCUCUGCUCACGAUGCCGGAUCAAGACUUCACACCGGAACUGAACAGGACACCAUUUGCCCUCUUUUCCUUCCCUUCCCUCUGGCAUUGGCUUGGCGAGGUAACACCCUUAUCUUUCCCUCCCAGGUCACCGCUCAGGGGGCAACCUCUGGAAUUCAGAGCCACCUUUUAUUUUCAGGAGAAAAUCAUACCUUUAUUAGGUCGAGUCCUGUGAAUUUACAUCAUGAGUGAGAAGGGAACUACCAGGAGGCUUUCGUGAUUCACGACUCUCCUUUUAAAGGCAGAUCCCUACUCCCAGGGAUAAAUAUAAUGAGGCUCUAAUCAGGAAUUUCUCAAUUCUUGAAAUGUUUGCCAAAUUGCCACGAAAGCAAGAACUGCCCAACAAAGAUCCCUAGACUCUCUGGCCAAAGUUGUUCUCGAUAACAGAAUAUCCCUUGAUUGUCUUUCAGCUGAGCACGGAGGUGCCUGCUAGAGCCAGUACCACCUGCUACACCUGGAUUCACCAUUCUGGGAAAUUUGAAACUCAAUUACAUCAAAUCACAAAAUAAGCCACUUUCGUUAAAAAGAUGAUUCCUUCCCAUGGGGUCUUUGAUUUGAUUUUGAUUGGAUUGGAGACCAUAGCUUCAAAGUACCCUGCAAACAUUGGGAAUUACUUUAUCAUAUCAUAAUAAUCUCCCUGGUGCAUUAUAUUCUCUCAAAAAUUUUAAAUGCAUGUUUGCAGCCACUAACCACCAAGCAAAUGGUCUCCCCCAGACUGGACCAACAAAAAGGUACAAAGAGGACAACCGACUUAAAGGAAUAUAAAUCUGAAGUCAUAACCUGUGAAUGUCACAGAGAUAAAGCCAAAACAUCAUGACCUGAGAAUGCCAAAGAUCAAACUCUGAGAACUACAGAGCAGUAGCUGAGAGGAAUGGAUGUAAUCUUUAGUCAGUCAACAUAGAAUCUCCUCCUCAAUACUAGGAAAUUUACUGAAAGGUCCCUUCAGCUCCCCUUAGGAGGGCAAACUUACCUAAAACAAUGCAUUCCCUGCUAAUAAAUUCGUCUUUGUUUAUGCCUCUGCCUUUAAGAACCUUUCUCUCGUUCGGCUCAGCAGAGCUCCCCUGUACUUGCUAGGUGGGAUGCUGCCCAACUCCUGAAUUGUUUAAUAAAGCCAAUUCGACCUUCCAA